GAUGAACGCUGGCGGCGUGCCUAAUACAUGCAAGUCGAGCGAACGGACGAGAAGCUUGCUUUUCUGAUGUUAGCGGCGGACGGGUGAGUAACACGUGGAUAACCUACCUAUAAGACUGGGAUAACUUCGGGAAACCGGAGCUAAUACCGGAUAAUAUUUUGAACCGCAUGGUUCAAAAGUGAAAGACGGUCUUGCUGUCACUUAUAGAUGGAUCCGCGCUGCAUUAGCUAGUUGGUAAGGUAACGGCUUACCAAGGCAACGAUGCAUAGCCGACCUGAGAGGGUGAUCGGCCACACUGGAACUGAGACACGGUCCAGACUCCGACGGGAGGCAGCAGUAGGGAAUCUUCCGCAAUGGGCGAAAGCCUGACGGAGCAACGCCGCGUGAGUGAUGAAGGUGUUCGGAUCGUAAAACUCUGUUAUUAGGGAAGAACAUAUGUGUAAGUAACUGUGCACAUCUUGACGGUACCUAAUCAGAAAGCCACGGCUAACUACGUG
rnacentral:rRNA from 1 species